UACGGAGGAUGCGAGCGUUAUCCGGAUUUAUUGGGUUUAAAGGGUGCGUAGGCGGAUCAAUAAGUCAGUGGUGAAAUUCUGCAGCUUAACUGUAGACUUGCCAUUGAUACUGUUGGUCUUGAGUAUGGUCAAGGUAGGCGGAAUGUGUAAUGUAGCGGUGAAAUGCUUAGAUAUUACACAGAACACCGAUUGCGAAGGCAGCUUGCUGGGCCAAUACUGACGCUGAUGCACGAAAGCGUGGGGAUCGAACAGG
rnacentral:rRNA from 1 species